rnacentral:lncRNA from 1 species
UGCAAACUCCAUAAGAAAUUUGAAUUGAGAUCAGUUUUGGAAUAAGGGAAAGGGGGAUGUGAAAAAAAAAUGGGGGGGGGGGUAAAUUUUUCUCAUUUCAGAUUUCAUAAAUAAAAAUAAAAUUUCUUCAAACAUUUUUUUGAGAGGAUUAAUAUUUAACAGCAUAGUGAAUUGCUCAAAGGCAAAACAAAUAUUUUAAGUUCAUUAGACCACAUUCAUUCUGUGUCCGAAACCUAUGCUGUGUCAACUAUUUAAUCACAAUCCAAAUUUAGAGCUGAAUCCAGCUUGAAUGUUGUGUCCAUACUUGCCCCAACUGGUCAGGGUUCAACCUCUGCGGUCGUAUAAAGCUGCGCCCUGCGGAGCAUCUGGUUGAAUAAUGCAUGGACAAGCACUGCACAAUUUUAAAACUAUAUCAGUGUUUAAGAAACUUUUAUUGUACAUGCAGAAUUGCUGCAUAUAAUUAAUGACUGGAACCUUACUAUGGAUACUAAAGUAGUGUUUUAGUAGAUACUUAUACUUGACUACAGUUUAUUAGUUAUGGUCUUGGUACUAAAUAAAUUGAUGAUAUCAUACAAAAGGAUUUUGUUUUUAUUGAAUUGUUUGGUAAAAUUUGACACCUCGCUAAUAAUGGGUACACCAGAUGCGUGUUUUAUCUAC